AUUCAAAAAGAAGAGGAAGAUACUAGAAGACACGACCAACAGUGUAUACAAAUAUUUAUGACUUAUUAAUUAUCUUCACACAUUUCAAUACAUUCAAAUCAAAUAAUUUUUUCAAAAAUAUUUGAAACUAGAUGUUUUUGAAGCGCAUUUCAUUUUUGGAUUUAUAAUCAGAAAAAAGUCUGCGAUGGGCAAGAGGCCAUUCACUUCCAGGAAGAGCAGUAGCUAUGUAAAGUUUUCUUUCUUUAUUUUUAAACCAACGAAGAAAUUAAGAUAUUGGUUGAAUCCAUAUUAUUCAUUUUGUUUUUGAUGUUCAAAUACAACAGUAAAUACGUGAAGGGAGAAAUGACCGACUGUGUUUUUUAACUUAAAAAAAUAUUAUUAUAUGACUCAAUAUUUUUUUGUAUGUAUAUAAAAAAAGGCUCCACCGAAGUGAAAAAAAUUUACAACAAUUAUUUAAACAGUCGUUUAGUUUGGAAUUGUGUGAAAAAGUUGAGGAAAUGUAGUUAGUUAAUACACAUUUCGGUGAUCGUCAUGGCUAAAAUUCCCAAAUUGCAUUUCGAAUUGGUUAAUCACUCACCCUCUUCAUUAGUUCUGGCCCCUAACGAUUCUUUCCUGUUUCAUAACUUUAAAGUUUCACUUGCAAAAGUAAUAUAUCACAAAACACAAAAAUGUCUUUUUUCUUUGAAACCUUUACUGUAAAUUAUGUUGUUGGUAUGCUAUUUACGUUGAUUGUUUUACAGUAUUUCAGCAUGAUGAUAAAACUUUUCACUGUAUUCAUCCCAAAACAUUAACUACAUCAUUUGUAGCCUGUCCUCGACAUGUGAAAUUUGACACUCGGGAACUAUCCUGUCUCCACGAUUAACAACAUAGGUGGGCCUUUAUGCCCUGCUAGUGAAAUAUAUCUGACAGUCGAUGUUGGUUCAAAUAGUUUAUUGUUAUGGCAAAUCGGUUGCAAUAAUUAGCAGCAAUUAAAACGUUUGUAAAUGUAAAUAAAUCAUUUUCAAGCAGAUGAUUGAAAUAUCACUUUUCUAAAAAUAUGCAGAAAAAUGAGUCGCCUUAAAAAUAUUCCCAAUAUAAUUUUGUAUACUGAAUUAUCGUUCAUUGAGAGUGAAGAAACAUUAGAGAAGGCAACUGAAAAUUACUAACUACGAAUAUUAUGAACUGAGAUUCAUCACAUGAAAUUUUUAAGGAAGAACCAAAAUAACCGGAAAUAUUGUCAUAGUAAUAUUUGAAUUCAAAAUUUGCUUUAUUUAUUGAAUUAGAAGGGUUCUUAAAAAAAAGUUGGUAGACCAAAUUUUUAAUUAUGUACACGUUUGACAUCAACAAAAUAAAUUCUUUGGUUCUGUUUAUAAUUAGUAUAUAACUAGAAAAAGAGCAGUCGAGUACAAUCAAAUAUAGGUCGUCACUGUGCUCAAGUUCCGCACGAGAAGUGAUAUUUAAUAAUCCGCAGAAUUGUCAGGGAAAAAAGGAAAUAAUUGCCAGUAUCACUUAAUCUUUCCGAUCCAUAAAAAACUGAAAAGAAAAAUAGCCCUGUAAUGCAGAUAGAGGUGUAUUACGUAAAAUAGUAACAAAUAGGUUCACGGUUAACGAAGUUAUGCCUAUUGUGCAAAAUAUUUUGAAGAAACAGAACGAUGAACAGAUUCUCUUCAGAAUAUAUUAAGGCUAUUGGCUUUUGUUGGAGAAAAAGAAAAGCUAACAGAAAACAUUUCAUUUGAAAACAUGUCAACUCCAAAAUAGUGUUAUCAAAAGUUUCAGAAACGAAAAAAAAUUGAUUAUAUAUUUUGAUGAAUUUAUAACCGUCAUACUGUGGAUGUUUAUUGGGAUAACUACUCUAAUGAAAGAUUAUCAAUGACUAUAUAAAAAAGACAGUGAAUGCUGAUUCUGUUUGGGUAAUAUCUAGUUUAAUACCAUGAUGAAAAAUUACAACAUGGAGAUAAAUUAUGGAACUUACAAUAAAUAGUUGCUAAAAGAAUAGAAAAAUUAACAAUAUUAUUUUAUCAUAAUUUUUAAAAAGAUAAGACAUUGAAUUUGAAUAGCAGGAUGCAAGUAAUAACAAUCUGUUUCUUAGACAAUUAAGAUAUAUGUCAAAAAAAUUAUUCAAUACUAGAGAUAUUCGACAAUUAUGUGAUACCUAUUUUGAUAAAUUUAUCGCCACUUCUUGGAAAACAAUAUAAGGUUUAUUUUAGGAAGGAGAACCUUGUAUAAACGCCUACCAAAGACGAGAAUUAUUUUUCAUCAAAAAUUUUGUCUAAUGUUAUAAUAGUGUUUAAAAAAUCUUACCAUGUUUCAGUGAUGAGUGGGGGUGUGUGACAUAUGUGUUACGUUCGUCCUUUGGGAGUGAUAAUUAUAUACAGGCUUGAAAUCAGCAACAAAUAAGUAGUAUUAUAUUUUAUUUGUAAAACAUUUGAUAGUAUUUAUGAUAAUUAACAUUUCUAUUAUUAUUAUUUUUCACUCAUAUGGUACGUAAUCAUUUUUUGUAUGAAAUUGAAUAUUGCAUUUCGAUCACAAUACAUUCCUCACACAUUGAGUUAUAACACUAUAACGUAAAUGAUCUGUUUUGACGUAGCAAAUGUCUUCCAAAACUCGGGAUUUCCUAUUCGACGACGGAGCUGUUGGACCCACAUACUUCCCAACUGUUUUGUAUCUUGUUAGAUAUGCUAAGACGAUUUCUAUUCUUAAUUUCAAUUUAGUGAUUUUCCUCCUUGUGAUUUUGUGAAUCUGCCAAGCAUUAUUUAUAGCUGCGACUAUUAGCUAUGUCAGUAUUGCCCAUUGCCAUGUCUCCUCUCUGAUUGAUAUACAGUACUAAUCUUGAUCCAUCCGGUCAGUGCCUUUCAUAUUUUUAUUAUAGGUGGAGAAAAUUGAGGUACAUUUAUAUUUUUUUCUCCUUGCAGGAAAUCUCUUCUCAAGCUUGACUGGAGAUUCUCCAUUUCCCAAUGAAAAUUCCUUCUUUUCUUUCUAUUUUGCUUCGAGAUGUUCCCCGAUUCAUCUUCUUCAUUUAUUCAUGUGAUGGUAACAUUCUUUCAUCCAAAUGCUUUAGAUAGUUCAAGCAAGUGAUUGAAUUGUCGGUCAUUACUUUUUUCAUACGAUGAGGCAAUUGAUCUAAAAAUGAAAUCAAGGGGCUUGUAGUUUUCCCAAAAAUCUUUUCAUAUUCAGGGUUUCGUCCAGUUAUAUUUUGUAUCUGAUAAACUUCAAAAUUUAUCAAGUACUCAAAGGAUUAUAGUUUAUAAUCAAACCUUAUGGAUUUACCAAAAAUAUAGGGGAUGAAGGCACACAUAGACCCUCAGUGACGGUGGUGAGGAUUUGUUAGGACAUGUUUCAUGAGACUUAUACAUCACACUCGUCGUUCGUGGGUUGUUAAUAACAAAAGCUACCCCGUUGAAUAGAAUGGAAUAUACUCGAUUAAGUUUUCUAUUACAUAUAAUACUCUAUAUCCAUUACUUUUGUAACCAGAAAAUGUUCAUUCAAUUUAAUACUCAAUAACGUACAAUAUGUAGUCCAGUUUAGAUUCCUAUUUUUUUUAUUUUUUCUCUCUGAUACAUAUCUGGACAUAACGCAGCCAGGAAUACCCCCACUGGCCAUGCCUAUGUUAAUUGAAUCUUAUUUUCAAUGAAUAAAUGUGUUUUUUGAUUUUAGGUAACCUGGUAAAGGAGUAAUAUCGCAUAUUUUUCAGAAAAGAAGCACCUACUACAUAAAUGCCUUUGGAAAAUAUAUUAUGGCCGCGAAUCGCAAAAAACUACCAUUUUGUAAUUUCAAUAUGUUCUACAGGAAACAUUAUCCAUUUUAUCAAGCCAUAUUAUUUAAAAAUUCAUUUUUUUUCAAUAAAUGACCUUGUUCGA